rnacentral:rRNA from 1 species
GACGAACGCUGGCGGCGUGCUUAGCACAUGCAAGUCGAACGGAAAGGCCCUGCUUGCAGGGUACUCGAGUGGCGAACGGGUGAGUAACACGUGGGUGAUCUGCCCUGCACUUCGGGUUAAGCCUGGGAAACUGGGUCUAAUACCGGAUAGGAGCCAUUUUGAGUGGGAUGGUUGGAAAGUUUUUUCGGUGUAGGAUGAGCUCGCGGCCUAUCAGCUUGUUGGUGGGGUAAUGGGCUACGAAGGCGGCGACGGGUAGUCGGCCUGAGAGGGUGGACGGCCACAUUGGGCCUGAGAUACGGCCCAGACUCCUACGGGAGGCAGCAGUGGGGAAUAUUGCACAAUGGGCGCAAGCCUGAUGCAGCGACGCCGCGUGGGGGAUGACGGCCUUCGGGUUGUAAACUCCUUUCGCUAGGGACGAAGCUUUUGUGACGGUACCUAGAUAAGAAGCACCGGCUAACUACGUG